rnacentral:lncRNA from 1 species
GACAAAAAGAAACUAAAAGUAGGAAGAAGAAGAGGAAGGGGAAAACCACCAAAAACGACACCGUUUUUCGCAUGGUAAUUACUAAUUAAGGGUUCGUGAUGCCGAGGCAGAACCGAAACGUGGACAUGAUGAUGAUACCUGGUAAGAUCAGAAAACGAGGUUGCUCGUCAUCGGCUUCGUCAUCCUCCUCCGUGCUCCAUAACUACAGGUUCAAGAGGGCCAUACUCGUCGGCAAGAGAGGCGGAUCCACCACCCCCGUCCCAACCUGGAAGCUCUUGGCGUCGAGAUCUCCGGCGGCGUCGACUUUUCGUGCACUCGACUCCCCUAAGUACCCGCCGUCGCAGUCCGGCGGGGGAGGAGUGAAGGCGAAGCAAGCACCGGUGUCGGCGAGGAAGCUGGCGGCGACGCUGUGGGAGAUGAACGAGAUCCCUUCGCCGAGCGUGAGGGAAAUGCAGCAGGGAGAUUCGAAGCUGAAGAAAGAACUCAGAGCGAGAGAAAAGAUUGCGAGGUCCAUGCGUUCUGGUUCUUUGCCUCCUCACCUGUCUGAUCCAUCGCACAGUCCUGUAUCCGAGGUGAAUACUGAAUACUCUUUUGUUUAUUUAUUUAUUUAUUUGUUCUUGCUAUCUUGAACGUAAUUACAUGUGGAGCAUGUUCAGAAUAGCAUUAAAUGGCUACUAUCUAGUCAUUAUAUAUUUAAUUUAUUCUUACGAAGUUUGUGAUUUGCUUGUUUAUUUAUUUAUUUUUGGGUAGAGAAUGGAUCAAUCCGGAACUGGUAGCCGCCAUAGAAGAACUCCAUCUGUUCCUCAGAGGCCACCUAGGCUUUCAGAGCACCAUGUCGGCCCUUUGGAUUCCCUUAGUAAUGCCAGUCUCAUGGAGGUAUCUUUGUACCAAAUUAUGAUGUGGUUCUCUUGUCUUAAAUGUUUUUUACUCCCUAAAUCCUAGCAAUGACAUUGCAAUUGUGCAUUAAUUUGAUGCAUCCAGUUCAUUAAUAGUUCCAUCGGGUUGCUAAAUCUAAAUGAAUAAUACAAUUGCAUCACGACAUGUGAAUUGUGAUUAAGCUGAACUCAUGUUUAGUUUCUGUACUGGACUGCCCAAAUCACCAAAUUAAAUAUCGAAAUUAAGUCACAUUUUCAUUUCUUACUUUGGAUAUUGUUUUAAUUUUGUUUUAAUGUCUUGACAUUUAUCUCUCUGGGCUCUGCCGUGUAAUGACUGAUGCCUCGUCAAUUUAGGAGCAUAGUACACCCUUUUUUUCAGAGCAUAAUACAAUUUUACUGGUUACAAACUUACCAUAUUAAUAUUCUGGGCAGGUGCCAAUGAUUUUAUGCAGAUGGUACCUUGUUGAUGAGUGAUGAUGACCUACCUUCAACUCUAUUUUAUUACAUCUCCUAGUUUUACUGUGGAUUUUCUAAUAGACCAGUAAUAUCUCUUCAUGAUAUUUAUGUUUUAAAAAAUUAUAACAUGCCAGCGAACCCUCCUCUUCUCUAUUCAUAUCAGUACGGUGACAUGGUCAAACAAUGCUUUUAUUAAUAUUUUAAAAUAUAAAACAAAUUAAAAAAUUAAAUUAAUAACUAAAUAAUAACUAAAAAAAUAAAUUCAAAUAGUCAUUUAGUAUUUUUUUGAAAUAAAAAGUCCAUAAAAAAGUCUAGGCUACGCUCUAAUCAAUAAUCAUACUCUAUAUUCCUAAACCUCAACAGAAGAACCAGGUCACUAACUCCCUCACUAUGAAGGGUCAAAGUCAAAGUUGGCGUUGAGUUAAGGGCUGCCAACUGCCAAAAGCAGCAUACAUGUUGUCACCGUAAUAAUACCAUACCCUUUCUCCGCCAUCAACCCACAUCGGAUUCCGACGCGGUCACAUUCCACCAUUCAUAUCCCGGCACGUGUCACGAACACCAUACCCUUGGCCGCGUAGGAUCGCUCCCCACCCUUUCUCUCUCUCUCUCUAUUGCUGCGUUCAUCAAAUCUAGCGCACUAAGCUUAAGCUACUAUUACUCAGUAAGUACUAACCCACACAAAACAAAGAGAGUCAGACAAAAAGAAACUAAAAGUAGGAAGAAGAAGAGGAAGGGGAAAACCACCAAAAACGACACCGUUUUUCGCAUGGUAAUUACUAAUUAAGGGUUCGUGAUGCCGAGGCAGAACCGAAACGUGGACAUGAUGAUGAUACCUGGUAAGAUCAGAAAACGAGGUUGCUCGUCAUCGGCUUCGUCAUCCUCCUCCGUGCUCCAUAACUACAGGUUCAAGAGGGCCAUACUCGUCGGCAAGAGAGGCGGAUCCACCACCCCCGUCCCAACCUGGAAGCUCUUGGCGUCGAGAUCUCCGGCGGCGUCGACUUUUCGUGCACUCGACUCCCCUAAGUACCCGCCGUCGCAGUCCGGCGGGGGAGGAGUGAAGGCGAAGCAAGCACCGGUGUCGGCGAGGAAGCUGGCGGCGACGCUGUGGG